rnacentral:rRNA from 1 species
GACAGAGGGGGCAAGCGUUGCUCGGAAUUACUGGGCGUAAAGGGCGCGUAGGCGGGCUGUCAGGUCUGGGGUGAAAUCCCGCGGCUUAACCGUGGAACUGCCUCAGAUACUGAUGGCCUCGAGGGAGAUAGGGGCGAGCGGAACUAAUGGUGGAGCGGUGAAAUGCGUUGAUAUCAUUAGGAACUCCGGUGGCGAAGGCGGCUCGCUGGGUCUCUUCUGACGCUGAUGCGCGAAAGCUAGGGGAGCAAACGGG